rnacentral:lncRNA from 1 species
AAUUUUCUUAAGAAGCAGUGGGAGAGAAAAUCUAGCAUCCCUGAAAUACAUAGUGUCCAAAACUCCAAUCCGUUGGCAUGCUUUCAAAGCCUAGUGAGAAGGCAUAUGCAGAUGAAGAGGAGUUGGUUUUGCAAGACAUUUUUGCUCGAAAAAGUGAUUUUUACAGUUGAGGACCCCAACAUGUAUGAAUAUAUAUUCCCUCGUUUAUUUGUUCAUCUAUUUGUUUUAGUGAUA